CUCCAAUCAGGUACCAACAACGUUGCUGUCAACUAUCAGGCUCCAAUCAGGUACCAACAACGUUGCUGUCAACUAUCAGGCUCCAAUCAGGUACCAACAAUGUUGCUGUCAACUAUCAGGCUCCAAUCAGGUACCAACAAUGUUGCUGUCAACUAUCAGGCUCCAAUCAGGUACCAACAAUGUUGCUGUCAACUAUCAGGCUCCAAUCAGGUACCAACAAUGUUGCUGUCAACUAUCAGGCUCCAAUCAGGUACCAACAAUGUUGCUGUCAACUAUCAGGCUCCAAUCAGGUACCAACAAUGUUGCUGUCAACUAUCAGGCUCCAAUCAGGUACCAACAAUGUUGCUGUCAACUAUCAGGCUCCAAUCAGGUACCAACAAUGUUGCUGUCAACUAUCAGGCUCCAAUCAGGUACCAACAAUGUUGCUGUCAACUAUCAGGCUCCAAU